GAGGAAAAGAAACCAACAGGGAUUGCCCUAGUAACGGCGAGUGAAGCGGCAACAGCUCAAAUUUGAAAUCUGGCCCCCCGGCCCGAGUUGUAAUUUGUAGAGGAUGCUUCUGGGUAGCGACCGGUCUAAGUUCCUUGGAACAGGACGUCAUAGAGGGUGAGAAUCCCGUAUGCGACCGGCCCGCGCCCUCCACGUAGCUCCUUCGACGAGUCGAGUUGUUUGGGAAUGCAGCUCUAAAUGGGAGGUAAAUUUCUUCUAAAGCUAAAUACCGGCCAGAGACCGAUAGCGCACAAGUAGAGUGAUCGAAAGAUGAAAAGCACUUUGGAAAGAGAGUUAAAAAGCACGUGAAAUUGUUGAAAGGGAAGCGCUUACAACCAGACUUUGAGGCGGUGUUCCGCCGGUCUUCUGACCGGUCUACUCGCCGUCUCGAGGCCAACAUCAUCUGGGACCGCCGGACAAGACCUCAGGAAUGUAGCUCCCCCUCGGGGGAGUGUUAUAGCCUGUGGUGAUGCGGCGCGUCCCGGGUGAGGUCCGCGCUUCGGCAAG
rnacentral:rRNA from 1 species